GCCCAGGUGGCGAAAUUGGUAGACGCGCUAGUUUCAGGUACUAGUCCUCGCAAGGGGGUGAAGGUUCGAGUCCUUUCUUGGGCACCA
rnacentral:tRNA from 1 species